UGCAGAAGCCGCGGCACCCGCUGGGGAGGGGCCGGGGGCUGUCCGGGCAGAGCUGCUGCGGAGCCCCACCGACCUGGGCGAGUCCACCGACAGCUUGCGCACGCGGUCCUGCACGGAGCCCGUCAGCUGCAGUGGGGCAGGAAUCCCAGGCUGACUUGGGACACUCCGGGGCUUGGAACUGGGCUGGCACUGGAGGGAGGGUGCCCUGCCAUGGGAAUGGGGGACCCCCCUCCCCAGCACUGCCUCCAGCUCUGCUGGGAGAUGGUUUUUAGGAGAGCUGUUAAUUUAUGAGGAAGAGGAGGGAGAAUCGGGACAUCAUCGCUUCAUUGCUGGGAAUCAGACUCAGGACCUCUGUCUGGCCCCCUCAACUAGCCAGUUGUUAAAGGAGACAUUUAUAAAUAUUAUCUUCACUCUGGGUGGAAAGUGAGAGAUAGGGAAAGAAAGACAGAGAGAAGAGAUACACCACACCUGUGUCCCUUAGCUCAAGAAGCUUCUGCUGUAUAGGCCUUCCGUGUGCUACUCUGGGGCUCAUACCCAGGUCCCUGCCAUUUAUACUUUAAAAAAUGCCUUUAUUACCACCAGGGUUGACACUGGAGCUUGGUGCCUGCACAAUGAAGCCACUACUCUUGGUGGCUAUUAUUAUCAUUAUUACCAGCAUUGACAGAGACAGAGAAAUUGACAGGGGGCGUGGGAGAUAGGAAGGGAGAGUGAGAGUGAGAGUGAGAGUGAUUGAGAGAGAGAGAGAGAGAGAGACCUGCAGCACUGCUCACUGCUCAUGAAACUUCCUCCUGCAGUCUCAGGAUGGAACCGGAAGCCUCAGGCCUGCAAGUCCUGCACUCUACCUGCUGAGCUGUCUCUUCCGGGCAAGGAUGCCGUUUCCUUUGCAGUAUGUUGGAGCUCUCAGCAUAGCGGAAGCGCCCAUCAUGGUGUGCUGAAUACGGGGUCAGGCACCUCCUUUUUGAGGCCAAAGUACAAGAGGAGAAGGCCCCCGCACCCCACCCCCCAGACCCCACCUUGAGGGGCCCCAGCUGCAGACAGAGGCUGAGAAGGAAACUGUCUGGACAGGACUCUUUCUGUCUCCCAAACUUAUUAAAUGAGGUCACGGUGAGGUUUGGCAAGUGGCGAGAGCCUGGCGGGGCGGGUUCACCAACAGUCGGAAGCGUGGCGGCACACAGCCACACACACCGACGUUUCUGAGAGGUUGGCAGAUGACCACGGCGAGUCACACUGAGCCGCAGUGAAGAGAACGUGCAGAAAGUGUGUGGUGGGUCCCGGGAGGUGGACAGAGUGCUGGACUGUCACACAAAUGGUCUCCAGAAGUGCACAUUCCAGAGUGGAGCCCUGCUUCUUUCUCUCUCUCUCUUUUUCAACGAAUAAAUAUAUAUUAAAAGGUGUGCAUCUGCGGGUUGGGCAGUGGCGCAGUGGGUUAAGCGCACGUAGCACAAAGCACAGGGACCGGCGUAAGGAUCCCGGUUCGAGCCCCCAGCUCCCCACCUGCAGGGGAGUCGCUUCACAGGCGGUGAAGCAGGUCUGCAGGUGUCUGUCUGUCUCUCCCCCUCUCUGUCUUCCCCUCCUCUCUCCAUUUCUCUCUGUCCUAUCCAACAACAACAGCAUCAAUAGCAACAAAAACAAUAAUGACAACAAUGGCAACAAAAUAGGAGAAAAUGGCCUCCAGGAGCAGUGGGAUUCGUAGUGCAGGCACCGAGCCCCAGAGAUAACCCCAUGGAGGAAAAAAAAAAAAAGAGACUUAUUUGAUUCCUUUCACAUACAGUAGAAAGCUGGUUGGAGAGACAGACUGGGUAGGGCACACAUGGGUAUGUGCUGCUCCAGGGGUUGAACCUGCAGCCCCAGCCAUGCAAACCCUGUACUCUACCACAUGAGCCACCUGUCCCGGCAAAGAGUGUUUUACUUCCUCCCCUUUAAAACUACUUACUUAGAGGUCUGUGUGUACCCGUGCCCAUCGCGACACAAUGUGCA